GGUUGUUGUGAUAUAUUUGAGGAGUCGUUCUCCCUCUGUUUUAUAUGUGGACAUUUGGGACCACUGUUAUAAUUUGGUUGACCACUUGACAUGUGAGAGCCUGAGGAGUUGUUCCCCCUCUGUCCAUGUUCGAGGACUUGCUCUCUGUCUGCCUCCACUCUCUGCCUUCACUGUACCAUGUCUGUUGAGUCUCCUCUAGUCUGGUUGACCACUUGACAUGUGAGAGCCUGAGGAGUUGUUUUCCAGACACAGGUAGAGCUGGCAGGGGCGUCAC